rfam:Enterocytozoon hepatopenaei strain TH1 scaffold_00046, whole genome shotgun sequence.
GGCCGUGUGGCGCAGUGGUAGCGCAUCUGAUUCCAAACCAGGUGGUCGUCGGUUCGAAUCCGGCCUCGGUCA